GGGAAGGUGGCUCAGCGGUAGAGUGCUUGCCUUGCAUGCAUGAGGCCCUGGGUUUGAUUCCUCAGUUCCA
rnacentral:tRNA from 1 species